UAUUCCUUUUUCUUCUCAACUAAAAAACAUUGUUAUCUUCCUUCACAAUCCAUGAUGGUGCGAAGUUGUGGGACCUGCGUAAAUUGAAGAACUUCCGGUCAUUUGAAUCUCCGGAUUUCGAGGUAUGUGUUAGCUUGAUUUUUCUUGCUUUAUAGCUAUCCCCUUUUUUUUCUAUAUUGGCUUAACUACCCAUCCAUCCAUAGCUAAUAAAGCUAGGUGUCCAUGGUUCUAUUGCGAUGCGAACAUUUGUUUCUAUAUUUCAUUUUGAAUCUUGAGCUGUUUCUCAUUAUAUUAGUAAUAAGUUAGUGUGGGGGAUGUGAAUUUUUAGCUUAAUUAAUUAGAAUGUAUUUAUAACCCAUUGUACAUUUAAUUAAUUUGGGAUAAUUAAUUAAUAAUAUUUUGAAUUAUUUAAAUCUACAGCAAUAAUAGACAAUUUGAAACAAGUGGAUGAGGUUGAUGAAGUUGAGGAGUUAAAAGGAUUUAUAGGAGGCUAAUUUUAAAGAAAACAAGGAGGAAUUGGUGGAAAAAGUUGCUGAGCCUAAGGUUAUCGGUGAAUGGCCACGGCUGUCGCAUGAUGGCUGUGGUGGCAGUGACGGUGGCUGAGUACCGGUGAUGGCUGUGAGGUGUGGCGAUUUCAAGCGGCGGCUGAGUACGUGUUAAACCUUCCCUCGAUUGAUAAAGGGAAGGGAAAAUAACUUGCUAAAACGCAAACUUGCCAAAACGGUGUGGUUUGAAUUCAGGAAAGGGAAAAUAACUUGGCAAAACGGUGUGGUUUGAAUCGAUGCAAGUAUCCUUUUCAUUGAUAACAAUGAUUUGUUUGUAUUUAAUACCAUAAUUAAGUAAAUGAUCAUUAUUACAACCAAACAAAAUUCAAAACAAUAAAACUAAUCCAACGUUGACUAAAAAUUUUUCACGCUUUUUU
rnacentral:lncRNA from 1 species